rnacentral:rRNA from 1 species
GACGAACGCUGGCGGCGUGCUUAACACAUGCAAGUCGAACGAAGUGGCGAACGGGUGAGUAACGCGUAAUCAACCUGCCCUUCAGAGGGGGACACCAGUUGGAACCGACUGCUAAUACCGCAUACUGAAGGAGGGGAUUGCGUCUGAUUAGCUAGUUGGAGGGGUAACGGCCCACCAAGGCGAUGAUCAGUAGCCGGUCUGAGAGGAUGAACGGCCACAGUGGGACUGAGACACGGUCCAGACUCCUAAGGGAGGCAGCAGUGGGGAAUAGUGGACAAUGGGCGAAAGCCUGAGCCAGCCAUGCCGCGUGUGUGAAGAAGGUCGUCGGAUUGUAAAGCACUUUAAGUUGGGAGGCGUUACCAACAGAAUAAGCACCGGCUAACUUCGUGCCAGCCGCCGCGGUAAUUC